CCUUGUUUAGAAUAUAACAUGUUAGCGUUCUACGUCGGUUCGACAAGUGCAUCAUCACUUAGUGUUAAUUCUCAAAUUGUUCCUCUCAAAUCACCAUAUAAUUUUAUGUCUCGAGAUAUUUCGUAUCCAUUGGAAGUUUGGCUAACUUGAGAAUUCUGUGGGACUAGAAGUUCGCGGAAAGUUUAUUUUCAUUGGGAACUAGUAUUGACUAUCAAACUGUAUUUUUGUUAUAUUUUAGCUUAAAUUUUCCCAGAUUAUCAAUAAUAUGUGGUUUGUAGGGGUA